AGUUAAAUCCAUAAAAGCCAGAAAGGCAAAUAUUUGCUCUCUAGAUUUUUGCUAUUAAAUUCUUGUAGUGCUACUAUUAGAAGUCAGCUUGAAAGAUAUGGAUAGGGCUCUCUACUAAAACGUAAUAGCAGUGUGGUGGUUAAAUUGGAAGUUUCUGGCACACUAAUAACCAUCUGCCACUAAUACUUGCAUCCUCUUUUUAUGGCAUCCCACUUAUCAUUAAUCCUGUAUCUCUCCAUGGGCUCUCCUGGCAUAAUUCAGAGAAUAAGGUACAGGUUGUCCACUCACAUCAAAUUACUAUUUGGCAUGAGCUCAACUGAAAAAAAAAUACUUUAAAACCACAGAGGAGAAGGAGAUACUACUACGCAAGAAACAGGAGCCAAGUGACCUGGAAAACCUUUGAAUGUGGCCUAAACAAGGAGUAGUGUCUGGUUUUAUGUGCCUUUAAGCAAUCUACCCUGGAAAUUAACUGGGCUUAGAAGUUUCAACAUACACAGCAGACCUCAGUAACUUAGAGCAGUUUCUCUUUCUCCAACACCAACACAGAACCCAGAUAAGAACCUUUGGUUCUCUGUGUCAAGGGAUGAGGAGAGUUGGGAACCUUGAAAGAAGUUGAAAUAAUAGCACUCCCAUUCUGGGGCUGCCCACUCACAGGUAACCUACAGCCAAGCAGAUGCUGAGUAGCAGAUUUAAGAUUCCCUGUGUUCUGAGUAUUGAACAAACAUUAAAGGCUGAUGUAAAGGACAGUCUGUACCACAGCUAGUUCAGAAAAAAAUACUUUGUCCUUUGCCCACAGAUCAAUCUGCUGACUUUCCAUUCAAUAUCCACUUAAGAGUUCUCUGUCCUCUCUGCUUUUAUCAUAAAAAGAAAAUCUUAUCUAUGAAACUUAGGAUUCUGAUUCCUUUUUCCUCUUUUCUCAGUACUUUAUGUAUUAUUGAUGUUUCCUAGAAAAUUUCCAGUCAACUGCCCAUUUAAAAAUCAUAAAUCAACAAUUUCCUACAUUUUUAGUUCAACCAAAGGAUCACCAAGUAUGGGAAAGCAAACACAUGAGUAUUACAAGGGUGCCUCAUGAGAAAAAUCCCAGCAGGGUAAAGAUUUUUCCACCAAUGUUUAAGCCUUAAAUUAUUUUUAAGACUUUUAUAAGCCCCAUUGCAGUUCCCUACUAUUCCACACUGUUAAAAUUCAUCUUUCUCUCUUUUGUCUGUUAAGGACUUUAUUUCCGUCUCCACAGUUUACUUCCUUACAUCUAGCUUCCUUGGUUCACCACAGUCAAUUGAAUUCAGAGUAUGAGCCAAACCUGUAAGCACCACAUUAUCUUCCUUUUCUGAACCUACAAAUACUUACACAAAACCUCUGUAAUGUAGAGAAGUGACACAAUCUCUACUAAAGCCAGAUCUGCCUCACAUUAUAAACUGGGCCACUGCCGAAGUGUGGGAGCAGAACAGUGAGCGAGUCAGAGACCUGUCUGGGGCUUUUAUCCUUAAGGCAGGAUGCAACUCCUGCCAGGUCCUGAAAUCUCCCCCACUGGAAAACCUUGCACCCCCAAAAUAAAGACAGAGAAGGACAGUUUUCAAAUAAUUUAUUAGGAAUUUAAAACUGAAAUCUGGAAAAAGGGUUACAGGUGUGGAGAGAACAAACACUGGAGUGUAAUAACUUACUGGCUUAAAAACACAGCUUUAUUUCUUUUUAAAAAAAUGCCCACCCUGAAACCAGAGCCCCAGCCUCCAGGCAGUGGCCAGAGAGUGACUCACAGCCCAGCAGCAGCACAGCUGGCCCGGGAUGUCUGGAGGGGGCACGGAAGCAGCUCAGCGCAUACACCAAGAGGGAGGAAAGCGCUGUCUGCAGACCCAAAUUUGAAGUAUAUAGAAUAAAAAUAAACCCAAUAAAAUGCAGCUCUUCUUUAAUUAGGAAAUAUUUAAAAAAACAGACAUACAGACUCUUGUCUCAGUAACAAAAAUUAUUGCUUUGUGUUUUCAGUACUGAUCUGUUAAGUACCUUCUUACCUAAACAGAACUCUCCAAACGCAUCGCCCAGGUCAGGACAAGUUCCAGCAGAUGGGGGAGAAAUAGAAGAGAAAAAGGGCCCUGUGGGCACUGUGGCCCUCCCAGUCCUUUUCUAAAUGCCCAUCUCCUUUACAGGGGCUCAGUUUGGGGGAAGAGAGGGAAUGAUUUUUAAAACUUAAGAUGAAGCUGUUAUUUCCCUGGGAAAAGAGUUUGGCUGCAUCUUAAUAAAAGGCUUAAUCACCCCCCUUAACAAGGUCUUUGGUUCACUGAAAUCCAGACCCAAACCUGCCCCGUGUACUCCUGCUGGAGGCCUCCCCUGGCAGAGUGCUGGUUAGCAGGGGCUUGGACCAAACCAGGGGGAGCCCCAGCAGGUUCUGGAGAAGGGACCAGAUCACCCCGCACAGGACAACGGACAAAUUCCCACAGUCUUCAGAACACAGAGUAAAGCAAAUGGGAAGCUGCAAUUCUAUAAUUCAUAUAAUCCCUGAGAAGCCCUUAACCCGCCCCCAAAUCACCACCCUAAUGCUUUUCUCCCCUGUUAAUGAAUCCCCAUCCCAGAGCCCUGCCCUUCAGAGAAUGACUACCCAAAUCUCCCCCUGGCUGACACCCCUUCCGAUACCCUCGCCUCCGGAGGAGGAUCCCCUUUCCCAAGAAAUCUUGACGCAAGCGAUAAAGUUUGGAGAGUGAAUUCCUUUCAAAGUAAC